CAAUAGCGUAUAUUAAAGUUGUUGCAGUUAAAAAGCUCGUAGUUGGAUUUGUGGCGUACGGUGGGUUCCGGGCACUUGUUGUCCGAGUAACUUGCUGUUGCCAUCCUUGGGUGGAACCUGUGUGGCAUUAGGUUGUCGUGCAGGGGAUGCCCAUCAUUUACUGUGAAAAAAUUAGAGUGUUCAAAGCAGGCUUAUGCCGUUGAAUAUAUUAGCAUGGAAUAAUGAGAUAGGACUUUUUUGCUAUUUUGUUGGUUUGCGCAAAGAGGUAAUGAUUAAUAGGGACAGUUGGGGGUAUUCGUAUUCCAUUGUCAGAGGUGAAAUUCUUGGAUUUUUGGAAGACGAACUACUGCGAAAGCAUUUACCAAGGAUGUUUUCAUUAA
rnacentral:rRNA from 1 species